GAUGAAGAACGUAGCGAAAUGCGAUAAGUAAUGUGAAUUGCAGAAUUCAGUGAAUCAUCGAAUCUUUGAACGCACAUUGCGCCCCCUGGUAUUCCGGGGGGCAUGCCUGUCCGAGCGUCAUUACAACCCUCAAGCUCAGCUUGGUGUUGGGCCCCGCCGCCCCGGCGGGCCCUAAAGUCAGUGGCGGUGCCGUCCGGCUCCGAGCGUAGUAAUUCUUCUCGCUCUGGAGGUCCGGUCGUGUGCUCGCCAGCAACCCCCAAUUUUUUUCAGGUUGACCUCGAAUCAGGUAGGACUACCCGCUGAACUUAAGCAUAUCAAUAAGCGGAGGA
rnacentral:misc_RNA from 1 species